rnacentral:rRNA from 1 species
UACGUAGGGUGCGAGCGUUAAUCGGAAUUACUGGGCGUAAAGCGUGCGCAGGCGGUUGGUUAAGUCUGAUGUGAAAGCCCCGGGCUCAACUUGGGAAUGGCAUUGGAAACUGGCCAGCUGGAGUGUGGCAGAGGGGGGUGGAAUUCCGCGUGUAGCAGUGAAAUGCGUAGAGAUGCGGAGGAACACCGAUGGCGAAGGCAGCCCCCUGGGCCAACACUGACGCUCAGGCACGAAAGCGUGGGGAGCAAACAGG